rnacentral:rRNA from 1 species
CGUGUGGGCGGGAUUGCAAGUCAGAUGUGAAAACUGGGGGCUCAACCUCCAGCCUGCAUUUGAAACUGUAGUUCUUGAGUGCUGGAGAGGCAAUCGGAAUUCCGUGUGUAGCGGUGAAAUGCGUAGAUAUACGGAGGAACACCAGUGGCGAAGGCGGAUUGCUGGACAGUAACUGAUGCUGAGGCGCGAAAGCGUGGGAGCAAACA